AGUGAACGCUGGCGGUAGGCCUAACACAUGCAAGUCGAACGGCAGCAUAGUAAGAGCUUGCUCUUACGGGUGGCGAGUGGCGGACGGGUGAGGAAUACAUCGGAAUCUACUUUUUCGUGGGGGAUAACGUAGGGAAACUUACGCUAAUACCGCAUACGACCUACGGGUGAAAGCAGGGGAUCUUCGGACCUUGCGCGAUUGAAUGAGCCGAUGUCGGAUUAGCUAGUUGGCGGGGUAAGGCCCACCAAGGCGACGAUCCGUAGCUGGUCUGAGAGGAUGAUCAGCCACACUGGAACUGAGACACGGUCCAGACUCCUACGGGAGGCAGCAGUGGGGAAUAUUGGACAAUGGGCGCAAGCCUGAUCCAGCCAUACCGCGUGGGUGAAGAAGGCCUUCGGGUUGUAAAGCCCUUUUGUUGGGAAAGAAAAGCAGCAGGUUAAUACCCCGCUGUUCUGACGGUACCCAAAGAAUAAGCACCGGCUAACUUCGUG
rnacentral:rRNA from 1 species